UACGUAGGGUGCAAGCGUUGUCCGGAAUUAUUGGGCGUAAAGAGCUCGUAGGCGGUUUGUCGCGUCGAAUGUGAAAACCCGGGGCUCAACCCCGGGCCUGCAUUCGAUACGGGCAGACUAGAGGUAUGCAGGGGAGAACGGAAUUCCUGGUGUAGCGGUGGAAUGCGCAGAUAUCAGGAGGAACACCGGUGGCGAAGGCGGUUCUCUGGGCAUUACCUGACGCUGAGGAGCGAAAGCAUGGGGAGCGAACAGG
rnacentral:rRNA from 1 species